GUAUGCAAUCUACCUUUCACAGAGGGAUAGCCCAGAGAAAUUUGGAUUAAUACCUCAUAGUAUAGCAGUUUCGCAUGAAACCACUAUUAAAGUCACAACGGUGAAAGAUGAGCAUGCGUCCCAUUAGCUAGUUGGUAAGGUAACGGCUUACCAAGGCAACGAUGGGUAGGGGUCCUGAGAGGGAGAUCCCCCACACUGGUACUGAGACACGGACCAGACUCCUACGGGAGGCAGCAGUGAGGAAUAUUGGACAAUGGGCGCAAGCCUGAUCCAGCCAUGCCGCGUGCAGGAUGACGGUCCUAUGGAUUGUAAACUGCUUUUAUACGAGAAGAAACCCUCCGACGUGUCGGAGCUUGACGGUAUCGUAAGAAUAAGGAUCGGCUAACUCCGUGCCAGCAGCCGCGGUAAUACGGAGGAUCCAAGCGUUAUCCGGAAUCAUUGGGUUUAAAGGGUCCGUAGGCGGUCAGGUAAGUCAGUGGUGAAAGCCCAUCGCUCAACGGUGGAACGGCCAUUGAUACUGUCUGACUUGAAUUAUUAGGAAGUAACUAGAAUAUGUAGUGUAGCGGUGAAAUGCUUAGAGAUUACAUGGAAUACCAAUUGCG
rnacentral:rRNA from 1 species